GACAUCCAGAGAAUUUAGCAGAGAUGCUUUAGUGCCUUCGGGAACUCUGAGACAGGUGCUGCAUGGCUGUCGUCAGCUCGUGUUGUGAAAUGUUGGUUAAGUCCGCAACGAGCGCAACCCUUAUCCUUUGUUGCCAGCACGUAAUGGUGGGAACUCAAAGGAGACUGCCGGUGAUAAACCGGAGGAAGGUGGGGAUGACGUCAAGUCAUCAUGGCCCUUACGAGUAGGGCUACACACGUGCUACAAUGGCGUAUACAAAGAGAAGCGACCUCGCGAGAGCAAGCGGACCUCAUAAAGUGCGUCGUAGUCCGGAUUGGAGUCUGCAACUCGACUCCAUGAAGUCGGAAUCGCUAGUAAUCGUAAAUCAGAAUGUUACGGUGAAUACGUUCCCGGGCCUUGUACACACCGCCCGUCACACCAUGGGAGUGGGUUGCAAAAGAAGUAGAUAGCUUAACCUUCGGGAGGGCGUUUACCACUUUGUGAUUCAUGACUGGGGUGAAGUCGUAACAAGGUAAGCGUAGUGCU
rnacentral:rRNA from 1 species